rnacentral:rRNA from 1 species
GAUGAACGCUGGCGGCGUGCCUAAUACAUGCAAGUCGAGCGAACAGACGAGGAGCUUGCUCCUCUGACGUUAGCGGCGGACGGGUGAGUAACACGUGGAUAACCUACCUAUAAGACUGGGAUAACUUCGGGAAACCGGAGCUAAUACCGGAUAAUAUAUUGAACCGCAUGGUUCAAUAGUGAAAGACGGUUUUGCUGUCACUUAUAGAUGGAUCCGCGCCGCAUUAGCUAGUUGGUAAGGUAACGGCUUACCAAGGCAACGAUGCGUAGCCGACCUGAGAGGGUGAUCGGCCACACUGGAACUGAGACACGGUCCAGACUCCUACGGGAGGCAGAAGUAGGGAAUUUUCGGCAAUGGGCGAAAGCCUGACGGAGCAACGCCGCGGGAGUGAUGAAGGUCUUCGGAUCGUAAAACUCUGUUAUUAGGGAAGAACAAAUGUGUAAGUAACUAUGCACGUCUUGACGGUACCUAAUCAGAAAGCCACGGCUAACUACGUG